AUGUUUUAUCACACCUGCAGACAGGAAACAAGCCAAAAGAAGAUCCAAUCCCUGCCAGAACCUCAGAUAAGAAUAUUUAGCAUUCUCAGAUCCAACAACAGAAAUCUAUUAGCAUCUAUACCCAACAAGAGUCCACCAGACUUUCCUGUGGGAUCUAAUGCUGCCAGACAAAAAAAUGAUGGCCAGAAAGCUUCUUUGCCCAAGUUUGAUUGGAAUCCAUAUAAAGGAUACUGUCAAAGCAAUGAAUUGGAUCCCAACACUCAGAAAUCAAUGCCCUCGGGAACUUUUGUUUGUCAGGGUGUCCCAACCCCUGCAAUUCCAAAAGAUUCCUGA
rnacentral:rRNA from 1 species